AACAAGGUCUCCGUUGGUGAACCAGCGGAGGGAUCAUUAUCGAGUUAUUCAACUCCCAAACCCUAUGUGAACUUACCACUUGUUGCUUCGGCGCGCGCUUCGGCGCCGCCGAGGACACUUAAACUCUUUGUUUUUAUAAGCAUUUCUGAGCGGCCGAAAGGCAAAAAUACAAAUGAAUCAAAACUUUCAACAACGGAUCUCUUGGUUCUGGCAUCGAUGAAGAACGCAGCGAAAUGCGAUAAGUAAUGUGAAUUGCAGAAUUCAGUGAAUCAUCGAAUCUUUGAACGCACAUUGCGCCCGCCAGCAUUCUGGCGGGCAUGCCUGUUCGAGCGUCAUUUCAACCCUCGAGCCCGACUCUUUUGAGGACGGCUCGGCGUUGGGGGACGGCAGACUCCCCCCGGCAUCUCGCCGGGGACGCCGCCCCCGAAAUCUAGUGGCGGCCCUCCGAGGCGACCUCUGCGUAGUAACUUGUUCUCGCACCGGAAAGCUCAGAGCGGCCACGCCGUAAAACCCCAACUUUUUUCAGGUUGACCUCGAAUCAGGUAGGACUACCCGCUGAACUUAAGCAUAUCAA
rnacentral:rRNA from 1 species